AUUGAACGCUGGCAGCAGGCCUAACACAUGCAAGUCGAGCGGAUGAAGGGAGCUUGCUCCUGGAUUCAGCGGCGGACGGGUGAGUAAUGCCUAGGAAUCUGCCUGGUAGUGGGGGAUAACGUCCGGAAACGGGCGCUAAUACCGCAUACGUCCUGAGGGAGAAGGUGGGGGAUCUUCGGACCUCACGCUAUCAGAUGAGCCUAGGUCGGAUUAGCUAGUUGGUGGGGUAAAGGCCUACCAAGGCGACGAUCCGUAACUGGUCUGAGAGGAUGAUCAGUCACACUGGAACUGAGACACGGUCCAGACUCCUACGGGAGGCAGCAGUGGGGAAUAUUGGACAAAGGGCGAAAGCCUGAUCCAGCCAUGCCGCGUGUGUGAAGAAGGUCUUCGGAUUGUAAAGCACUUUAAGUUGGGAGGAAGGGCAGUAAGUUAAUACCUUGCUGUUUUGACGUUACCAACAGAAUAAGCACCGGCUAACUUCGUG
rnacentral:rRNA from 1 species